CUAUCAUAAUAUCACAUCAAAUACUUUGGUAAUUCUGGAAGCCAUGGCAGUACAUGGUGUUAAAACUCUUAUUUACUCAAUACAUGUGCAAUUUAUGGGGAACCGGAAAAAAUGCCUAUUACAGAAGUAACUCCUCAGCAUCCUAUCAACCCAUAUGGGAAGGCCAAAAAGAUGGCGGAGGAUAUUAUUUUGGACUUCUCAAAGAGAUCAGACAUGGCAGUCAUGAUCUUAAGAUCCUGAAGGAAGGUUAGGUGA